CCUUGGAGAAUUUUGCUUUGGCGAGACCGUGAGAGAUAUAUUGCUCAUUUUGGAGGUUUCGAAGAAGAUUAGCAGUACGGCUUACAUGUCAGCUCAAAAACUGUUGUUAUAGUGCUGUCUUAAGUUUAGAAAAUGUUUCGGAAGCGCAGGAAAUGUUUUGGGACUUGGAAUAUGUUUUUUAGUGCAGUCUUGACUUAUAUGAGUAGUAUUUGUUCUACUCAAACUUAUGAAACUAUUUGUACUAUGAUGUUGCACUUAUUUAUGACAUUUGAAUAUUUAAUAUGUUA